rnacentral:tRNA from 1 species
GGGGAUUUAGCUCAGUGGUAGGGCACUUGCCUAGCAAGCGCAAGGCCCUAGGUUCAGUCCCCA